ensembl:lncRNA
CAGCCACCCCAGGUGUCUGUCCCAGAGCUGCCCCUAAGCCUGACCUCUGAGGGGCCUUGCAGGGAACCCAGCAGCCAGGUGGACUUUUCCAGCUCUGGAUGAAUGUGAACAGGGCCAUGCCUGGGGCCGAGUCAUCGCUUGCUCACCGACCUUCGGGAUCCUCCACCUGAGGGCCAGAAUGCUCUCCGGUGCUCGAGCCCUGUUAGGAAAAAGGGCUAGACACGGAAUCAGCCCGCUGCAGACAGGCAGGUCUGCGCACAUCCUACCGAGGUCCUGAGUUGCGCGGAACACGCCGAAUCAGCCCGCGCCCGACAACAAUCUACUGGACCCCUCCCCGCUCUUCUGUACAGCCACCUGGUUCCACACUACAAAGACGCAGAGGACAACCGACCACCAGGCCACGGUACUGAGUCCCGCUGCUCCCGGCACAGAGCCUCCCCCGUGUUCUCAGGACAAGUCCCAGUGUCUCUGCAGCCACGGUGGCAGAGCCUAUGGCGAGCCUCUCUCUGUCCUCCGAGGAUGGGGUCCCAGCCGAGCCCCAGGAGGAAGCAGGUGGCAGUGUCACAUGGCUGAGGAGGCACCUGGGAGCCACAGCAGCAUGGCACAGAGCCCACGGGGCCUGGCACGAACCUGGCACCCAGGUUGGACCCCACCUAGGGUGCAGAGCAGGUGCUGGACGGUGAGUGGACAUGGUUCUUGGUGCCCGCUGCAGCUUCCAAGCUUCCCACCAUCUUCUCCAACCCUAGCCCUAGGUGGUCGGCACAGGUGCUGCUGCCUCCCGGGCACCUGCCCUUCUGGCUGCUGUCUGGUGUCCCCUCCAGCCUCAUUCAGAAUGAGCCAGCAUUUGCACGGUGCCCGGCUGUGUCCUGCCAGCCUUCCCUCCACCAGGACACCCUGGAACCUUGUCCUCAUUGCUGACUGUGUGCCCCUGGACUCCCGCCCUGAGCUCACAGCGUGUCCUUCAGCCACCGUCUCUGAAAAUCCACGGUCUGAUAACUCGAUGACUCUCACAGCAAUCCCAGCCCUUGUUUCACGGUGGCAGAGCCAGCUGUCGCUCUCCCCACCAGUGCUAGGACAGCAGGACAGAGCUGAGACCACUGCAGCCAGGAAGCAACGUGCCAGUAGCUGGGUCCACGGGUCUCAGCUUCCGCACAGACUCAGGCCUGGUGCUCAUCGUUCCACCCUGCCUCUCACUUGGCCAGAGCACGAAAUUCGUAAAGUGUCCCAGAGAACACGUGGCUCUGUCGGGGGCCACAUCCUGCGGUGAAGUGAAUCCAAUGUCUCAGGCCCUUCCCAGGCUGGCUUCCUCUUCUACCUGUCUCUCUGACUCCUGCCAGCCCCAUCGAGCAUUCUUGAGACACAAGUCACCUUCCUCUGUCCUAGCCCAGCUGCUGGGUGCUCCCUGCACCUCCCUCUGCGUGUCCCCUGCCGCCCAGGGCUGGUGCUGCUCCUGUGUCCCCUUCUGAGACAGCACUUGCUGAGCACUGACCGCCCCGCUGCCCACGCCACCCACAGAACUGACCCUGCUCUCAGACUGCCUUGGUUUGAGUGUGUCCUCUGCACUUGCUGCGGCUUGUUUCUGGCACCUGGCAGCUGGUGCACAUCCAGCAUUUGUUGAAUAAGUGAGAAAUGGCAAAGGAGGGCAGGCAUUCCUCCCCCGGCCCUGUGCUACUCCAGCUGUGGGAUUUCCCAAGUCUGCUGAGCACCACCCCUGCCGCCACUGUCCUGGGCACUGGAAAAUGGCUGGGCAUAGGGCAAAGGUCUG